rnacentral:rRNA from 1 species
GAUUUAAUCAAAUUAGUUUGAAUAGAAAUAAUUAUUAUAUUUUUUUAAAAAAAAUAAUUUUUUGUUUGAUUAAUGAAAUUGAAAUAAUUUUUAUGAUAAUAGUUUAGUAGUAUAGUAAUAGAAUUUUUAAAUAAUUAAAAUUUUAAAUUUUAAAAAGAAGAAUUUUUUUGUACCUUGUGUGUCAGGGUUUAUUAAAUAAUUUAUAAAAAUUUAUAUAUCUCGAAUUAAGAAGAGUUAAUAUAAAAUAAAUAUUUUAAUGUUAAAUUAUUAUUUGAAAUUUUAUAUUAGUAAUGAAAUGUUAUUCGAUUUUUAAUAUAUCUAGUUUUUAAAGAAAUAAAUUUAAUUUAUAGAUUAAUAAUUAUUAAAUUUAAUAUAAAAUUUUUUAAUUGUUAAUUUAAAAGAUUUUUAGGGAUAAGCUUAAAAAUUAAUAUUUAUAAAAAUAAUAAUUAAAAUAAAUAUAUAGGAUUAGAAAUUUUUUUUUUUAAUAGUUUGUUAUUAUUAAUUUAUAUAUAUAUAUAUAUAUAUUAUUUUUAUUUUUUUUUAAUUUUUUUUAUUUAAAUUUUUUAUUUAAUUUUAAAUUAAAAGAAAUUAUGAUAAAAUUAGUAUAUUUUAUUGUUUAAUAUAUUUAUUGUUAUUUUAGAUUAUAAAAAGGAAUUCGGCAAAAUUAUAUUAUUCGCCUGUUUAAUAAAAACAUGUCUUAUUGAUUAUAAUUUUAAGUCUAAUCUGCCCAAUGAAAUUUUUAAUGGCUGCAGUAUUUUAACUGUACAAAGGUAGCAUAAUAAUUUGUCUCUUAAUUAGGGACUAGUAUGAAUGAUUGAACGAGAUAAUAACUGUCUCUUUAUAAAUUAUAGAAUUUUAUUUUUAAGUUAAAAAGCUUAAAUUUAUUUAAAAGACGAGAAGACCCUAUAGAGUUUUAUAAAUUUAUUAAUAAUUAAUAUUUAGUAAUUAUAAUUAUUUAUUAAAAAUUUAUUUUAUUGGGGUGAUAUAAAAAUUUAAUUAACUUUUUAUAAAUAAAAACAUUAAUAGUUGAAUUUAUGAUCCAAUAUUUAUUGAUUAAAAGAUUUAAUUACCUUAGGGAUAACAGCGUAAUUUUUUUAUAGAGUUCUUAUCGAAAAAAAAGAUUGCGACCUCGAUGUUGGAUUAAAAUUAAUUUUUGGCGUAGAAGUUAAAAUAUUAGGUCUGUUCGACCUUUAAAAUUUUACAUGAUCUGAGUUUAAAUCGGCGUGAGCCAGGUUGGUUUCUAUCUUUAAUAAAAUUAAAUAUUUUAGUACGAAAGGACCAAGUAUUUAUAAAACUUAUUUUAUAUUGAAUAUUAAUAAUAUU